rnacentral:rRNA from 1 species
GGAAUUUUGGACAAUGGGCGAAAGCCUGAUCCAGCAAUGCCGCGUGAGUGAAGAAGGCCUUCGGGUUGUAAAGCUCUUUUGUCAGGGAAGAAACGGUGAAGGCUAAUAUCCUUUGCUAAUGACGGUACCUGAAGAAUAAGCACCGGCUAACUACGUGCCAGCAGCCGCGGUAAUACGUAGGGUGCAAGCGUUAAUCGGAAUUACUGGGCGUAAAGCGUGCGCAGGCGGUUUUGUAAGUCUGAUGUGAAAUCCCCGGGCUCAACCUGGGAAUUGCAUUGGAGACUGCAAGGCUAGAAUCUGGCAGAGGGGGGUAGAAUUCCACGUGUAGCAGUGAAAUGCGUAGAUAUGUGGAGGAACACCGAUGGCGAAGGCAGCCCCCUGGGUCAAGAUUGACGCUCAUGCACGAAAGCGUGGGGAGCAAACAGGAUUAGAUACCCUGG